rnacentral:lncRNA from 1 species
UUUAUCCCUCUCUCAUAUAUUUCAAAUUUUCUCACACCUUAAUAAUAAUAAAAGCCCUACCCGUUUUAAGUAUUUUAACCCUUGACCACUGAUACCCUGUCCGACUGACGUAGGACCCCGUAACGUAUGUCAAGGCUCCGCCUAAAUUCGUUGGGGUUCUGUCUCGUGACGUAGGGAUAAAGUAGAAUUGGGUUACUAUAUUUAAGUGUGAGUGCACUAUAUAUUUUAUCAAAUCACCCAGGAGUGAUACCCAAAAUAUAACUACCCUCCUAAAACACCCCUGACACCCUACACUUUCUAAAAUACACCCCUUAUGUGAAAACCAAGCCCGAAAUACAUAUAUAUAAAUUAAAAACAAGAAAAAUUAAGUUGAGGCGGGCCGCGUAGACCCACCCCAACCAUUCACGCGGGCCGUAUGAAGGUGUAACCGGAUUCCUUUGAUUUCUUAAGUUCAAGCGGGCCGCGUAAGGUUCCCUUAACAUUAACACGGGCCGCGAGAGAAUUAAAAGGUGGCGCAGCCCGGUGCGGCCACGUGGCCCAACACCCGGCUAAGCUAGUUGUCGACUCAGCACAGCUACGCGUUGACCCAGCUUUGACGCGGGCCGCGUAAGCUUUGUGCUUAUACUACGCGGGCCGCGAGAGACCCCGAUUCAGGCACUAUAUAAAGGAGGCAUCGGCUGUCCAUUUCAAUUUGUUCAUUCUUCGAUUCUUUCUCUCAAUUUCUGAUAUAGGCUUUAUUAAGCGGGUAUUAUACCCCCCUAAUUAGCGAAGCUCUGCCUCGUUGUAAGUAUCAUAACCCCUGGAUACGUAUUAGAUACUCUGCCCGAUUGAUCUAGGGUUCCGUAACGGCUGUCGUGGUUCUGCCCGACGUAGUCGUUGGAAUGCCGUCUCGGGGAGGACUAUAACCAGGGAAUCACAAAGGAAAGCCCUAUAAUAGCAAUGUGAGUAAUCUCCUUUUUGUUAACUGUUUUUACAAAACCUUAAAUACCUUUCCAUGUAAAUGACAGUUAUUGAGUAUUUGUGAAGAAUACAAUUAUAGUGGGUAUGUUGGGGUUUUGUAUACAAAAUUGGUUACUGGCGUGGUAACAUCCCAUAUGUUGAGUAUGACCGUACCACUGUUGUUAAUUGUGAUGUCUUGGAUACAAAUGUAAUUGCGGAUGUGCCCUCAAUACUGCAAAUUGGUUUUUAUUUAAACUUGAUUAAACUGGGAUUCACUCACCAGUAUUUCUUGCUGAUAAAAUGUUUUAAACACGUGUUUCAGGUAACUUAGUAUGAAGCCAAUAAAAGCCAGCUGGAGAGCACUGAAGGCUUGGAAAAGUGGCUAUAAAGUUACCUAAAAUAAAAUAGAUGUUUUUAUUAAUAAAAAUAGGAUUUAUUCCUAUGAAAGUGUGUAUACUGAAAACUUGGGUUUUAUCCCAUGUGUUUAAUGUUAUAAAAUGUGGUGGUUUACUCUGAUAAAAUAUUUCCUAACUACGGUCCUGAUGAAAAAAUUCCGCUGCCAAAUUAGACAAUACCCGAUACCACCGAAACUGGAUCACGGCCGCCCGUUCCCGGGGAUUAGGGAUCGGGGGUUGUGACAGAAGGUGGUAUCAGAGCUAUGCCACUGGCUCAAGCCAAAGAAAUGUUCUGCUGACACUUAAGUUUUAAAUUCUGUGUUAGGAAAUUAAUAUAACAAUUUAUGUUUUAUUCUGUGUAGAUAAAUCUUAAUAUUUAUAUUAUGAUUUUUAUGUUUUGAGUUCAGAAUAUGAAUAACCAGUAUGACUAGACGUACCCAUAGGCUACCUAGGCAGAUGUAUUAUACUACACUCUUAUACAAUUAGUAACUUAAGGUACCACCUUGAGUUAGAUCAUGGGUAUAAAUUUUAGAUAUUAAAUCUAAAAUCAUAAUUUAUGAUAAACUUACGUAAGAAAUCGAAUAAUAUUAUGUAUCCACCUUAAAUAAAUAAAAGUAUGUUAUUUUAAUUGAUUCAUAGACUUCAUGAUCUAUACCAUGAUCUAUCCUUAUGAAUGGUGGUAUAGAUUAUGGUAAAUUCCUGAAUUGACCUUAAAUCCAGAAAUUGUGUUAAUAUACAAUAUUAAUUGUAUGUAAAAUAAUAUACACGUUGUAGUAUAGUAUACUUCUAAUAAACAUACGUUAUAAUACACCAUAAAAAAUGGGUCUGAUAGUUUGUACAAUUGGUAUAAAAGAGAAUUAAUAGUUAAUAUUUUUAAGAAGUAAAAAUAAGGGAACAUCACUUCAACCAAAUCCCUCAGGAUACUCAGCAGAUACUGAGAAGAAAAUUUUUAUUCGUAAGGCACAGUCUGAGAAACUAUUUACCACUAAAAAAGAGAAGUAGGAU